CAGUCGCCACGGUAAAACGAAGGGGGCUAGCGUUGCUCGGAAUUACUGGGCGUAAAGGGCGCGUAGGCGGACAGUUAAGUCAGAGGUGAAAGCCCAGGGCUCAACCUUGGAACUGCCUUUGAUACUGGCUGUCUAGAGUGCGGGAGAGGUGUGUGGAACUCCGAGUGUAGAGGUGAAAUUCGUAGAUAUUCGGAAGAACACCAGUGGCGGAGGCGACACACAGGCCCGUAACUGACGCUGAGGCGCGAAAGCGUGGGGAGCAAACAGGAUUAGAUACCCGCGUAGUCCCUGUCUCUUAUAC
rnacentral:rRNA from 1 species